UAAACGGUCCUUUUCAGGACCACCGAAAAUCUUUCCUAAACAUUUAU
rfam:Aedes albopictus isolate Foshan contig56888, whole genome shotgun sequence.